ensembl:lncRNA
AGUAUUUAUCAAAUCGCUUAAAAUAUGUGCCUCGGUUAUAAAUAUGUACCUAAUUGCUGUAUAUUUUGUUUCUUUGUUUAAAGCUACAGUAUCAAACUUUCUUUGGUUAAAAAUGAACAAAAAUCUGUUCUUGAGCAAAUAUGUAAAAUAAUCAGUGCUCAAAACUGUCUCCUUACCGUACUCUGAUUCACAACGGUACGCUUAAAAUAAUGAUUUAUAAUUUGAGCUGUCGGCUCGGAUUUUGCGGGAAACGUCAGUUUGACGUCAUUCAUCUAUACGUGUUUACAUCACGUCCGUAAACAGAAAGAAGAAGGCUGCUUUUAAUCUGGAUAGUUCUAAACGGCGAUCAUCGUUGACAUCUGGGGAAUCACCUGUUGUCAAAACUAAGAAACCUUGACUCUGCGGAGAGUCUGCAGUGGAAAAGGGAACGCGACAGAGCUCGCGAUAAAACGAGAAUAAAUAUCGGCGUGGCUUUUGAGAGGUGGCGACAACUCUCAGAUCUGAAGGGAUUGAAGACUGACGCAGAGAUGGCUUUUUCCUGCUGAACAGUCAGUGUGGGAAAUUGCACUUAUUUUCUGCCAGCUAUGAGAGAGAGCAACUCGCCUCCACUUCAAGAAAGCCGUAUCCACCGCCACCUCCGUUUGCCAAGAACUGGAGCCAAUACAAAACAAACGAAUACCUCAAACCAUCAGAUUGAUCAGAAACGCACAGAGGAGCGGUGUCGAAGCACAACCUAAAACAAUAACUCCGCAAGUAACUUGCAGUUUUAUGUUUCAGACAGGCAAAAUUUUACCUCUGAUUAAAUCUUUUGAGCUGGGAUUCAUUCUGGCGGUUCGAUUCCCGACCCACAUGACUCCACAUACCGAAGUGUCCUUGGGCAAGACACUGAACCCCAAGUUGCUCCCGAUGGCAAGUUAGCGCCUUGCAUGGCAGCUCUGCUACCACUGCUUUUGAAGGUCAUGCAGUUACAGUAACAUCACCAUUUCUUCCUUAUCACGGAACAACCUGGAUGUUUCCUUGCAAUGCUGUCAUGCUGCGUUUGCUGAUGUCAUGAAGAUCUGAAGCACAGAGUGGCACAGACGCUCAGCACAAUUUUGGCUUUUUUUUUUCUUCUUUUUUUCUCCUCUCUAACAACUUCUUCAAAGACACCACUUCAAACCGUGGCAGGACGCAGCUCAGGACAUAUAAUCAGAGAGCGCAGGCCUUCCCACAGAGUGUAGGAGCUAAUGCCAGCGUGCCAAGGUCAGCCAUGCUGGAAGAGCUUCAAUAACAUCUGCUCAGCAAGAAACUGUUUCAGGAUUAAACACACAUAGCGAGAGAGACUUUCUGUUACAUCUUUGUAUUUUUAAAGAGGUUUAUAAUAAUGAGUGUCGG